GCUGGGGUAGCUCAUUCUGUGGAGCAUAAGACUCUUAAUCUCAGGGUCCUGGGUACGAGCCCCACGUUGGGCA